rnacentral:tRNA from 1 species
GCUAAUAUGGCAGAUUUAAUGCAAAGUAGUUAAGUUUCUUAUAUGAUUUAUUCUUUUAGCA